AACGAACGCUGGCGGCAUGCCUAACACAUGCAAGUCGAACGAACCCUUCGGGGUUAGUGGCGCACGGGUGCGUAACGCGUGGGAAUCUGCCCUUGGCUUCGGAAUAACAGUUAGAAAUGACUGCUAAUACCGGAUGAUGUCUUCGGACCAAAGAUUUAUCGGCCAGGGAUGAGCCCGCGUAGGAUUAGGUAGUUGGUGGGGUAAAGGCCUACCAAGCCGACGAUCCUUAGCUGGUCUGAGAGGAUGAGCAGCCACACUGGGGCUGGGACACGGCCCACGCUCCUACGGGGAGCAGCAGUGGGAAAUAUUGGACAAUGGGCGCAAGCCUGAACCAGAAAUGCCGCGUGAGGGAUGAAGGCCUUAGGGUCGUAAGGCUCUUUUACCCGGGAUGAUAAUGACAGUACCGGGAAAAUAAGCCCCGGCUAACUCCGUGCCAGCCGCCGUAGUAAACC
rnacentral:rRNA from 1 species